GAAAGUUGACCCUUAGGCUUAGGCAGCGUUUACACUGUACCGUUUUCGUAGCGUUCUCGUAUUGUUCUUAAUCCUCAAGGGAACGCAAGACAAUAGUCUAGUUUUCUCGAACAAUACGAGAACGCUACGAAAACGGUACAGUGUAAACGCUGCCUUAGUUGCAGAGCUGUCGAAGACACGCGCCGGUAAGCAUAUUGUCUUUAUAAAUAUUGUUUGUUGUCUGUCGCUCGGAUUUUAAGCUUCUCCUUCCCAUUCAACGAUAACACUUUGUCUUUGCAGAAUUGUUGAAGUUCACAGGGCAUUUUGAGUUAGUUUUAGUGAUUUAGUCGAGUUUCCAACAGAAUUUUAAAGAUUUACUGAUUAACGAGCAUUUUGUCUUCUUAGUUUACUGUUGAAUUUGAAAUGAAAAGUUGUUACGAAUUAUAUCAAGGCUUUUUAAAUGCUUUGAGUUUAUUAAACUUGAGUUGUACAGUAAUACUGAGACUACAUUUGUACUGUUCCUAUAACAUCUCAUUUAAUUGCAUAUUGGAUGCAACAAACGCUCGCGAGUUGUCAAAUCGAUUGAAUUUUAUACACAUUAACAAAGGAGCUGGGCGAAUAGGAACAAAGCCUAAUACGGACAAAUAUCAGUCGAUUCAGACACUCUAUAGUCACUAAUCGAAGUUUCGUAGACGUUUUGGAUAUCGUUGUGCAGUUUUGUCAGCUUCCUGACAAUGACACUACAGUUUCUUUCCUAUAUUUUACAGAUUAUUCAAAAUGCUUCGGUUACAAUUAAGAUGACCAUUCAUAUGUUACAUCUGACGGCGAGAUAUUCAGAACCGAACAAACCAAAAAAGCUGAUCAAUGAAGCAGUUAGGUUCAGAAGAUGGAAAUGAACAUCUGGUUAGGAAAGAAAAAUUGCAGUAAUUGUAUGACAGCAUUGACGUGGAAACCAUAAGGUGCUCAGAACAACAGAAGAAGGGGGAUCAAUGAACGAGUAUAAGAUCAGAGCAUGGAAGUGAGCAUACGUUUAGAAUGGAAAAUGACAGUAAUUGUGUGACACCGUUGACGUGAAAACGAGAAGGGCGAAGGAACGUACAGCAUGGAAGAAGUACACGGAAAAAACUGUAGAGAAAGAAAAGGGUUGGAGAUCUUGAAACAAAGCCAAACGUGUCGCCAGAUCAAAUAGAAGGAGCUGUAGCAAUGUAUUCCAACGUAAUGGACAACGCAGCCGAAGAAGAUAGGUAAGAUGUCCUAAUUAAGUCCAGUUUCUUAGUAAUAAUACUUGCAUGGCGUAUAAAGAAGGUCAUCCAAUUUGUCGUGCUUUUUUGGUGCGUUAAAAUAUUGAAUUCACAGAUAUAAUUUUUUUCCAUGCAAUUUACCAAAUACAAGCCGAUUCAAAACCACGUACCAGUCGAGGCUAGACUGCGGUCUAGCAAUUUUUUGGUGGCACGAGCAAAAUGAAAAAACCCUGAAAUGAUAAGGCCGGUUAGCGUUGGGGUUGGAGAUAGAGUUAUUUCAUGCCGAAACAUGUACUUAUAACUAGUCAGCUGUAUUUAUCGAUGUCCACUGGUGUUCUCCAAAAAACAAUUUUACUGGGUAAAUAUCUCAUAUAGGUGAUGUGCAACCACUCCCAUGGGAUUCAAAGGACAAACGUUUUCGCCAUGUUCGAUGCUGACCUAAUGGCGAUGGUGACGUAACUUUCACAUCACCUAUUGCUAAAAAAUGCCCAAUAGGUGAUGUGCAACCACUCCCAUGGGAAAACCUGACAAAAGUUUUCGGCAUGUUGGAUGAUAUUUGCAUUGCAAACAAGCAAAACCCUUUGUCAGUGUCAUCUAACAUGGCGACGGUGACGUAACUUGCACACCACCUAUUGUUGUCCUCUUGUGAGAGUUCCCAAUUUUGAUACACACCUCUUUCUCUUAUUUUACAGAUGGCUAGUGGAUGGUUUGCAGCGUUCAAAAGAGCGUUUUCUUGAGGACUUUCACAAAUGAAACCAAACAUGGCAUUUUCUUUAUAAAAUUUUUUUUCAAUUUCAUGAUUUCCUUUUUAGCCAAAAGAACUAAACAAACUAAUCGUUUUCAUAAUUCGAACGGUUUCAACUCAAAAUUGAAUUUUCAACAAAAUUUUUAUGGUUUCAUCAUUUCGGCAUUUGGCACAAACGCUGAGUAGAAUCAUAUCAAAUGAGUGGCUGACCAUUUGUCAAUGCUUGGUGAAACGUCAACUCGACUUUUCCCGACCUGCUGACGAGUAUUUCCGAUCAAUUACCAUGAACAACUAGCACAAGUGUAAGGCUUGGCCAACCUUGCAGCUGUGCUUUUUGUCCCCGGCAUGGGACCGGGAAUGUUCGCCUGCGAGCGUGGAAAAAUUGAGGCGGAAUAUCACCAAACUUUGAUUUGUGACCAGUCUUUCGUCUGUGUGGCUUUAUCCAGCGUUUUGGUCUUUGUCAUUUGAUGAAAUUUUGCGAUUUCAGUACAAAUGUGUUUAAAAACUAUACAUUUUUGAAGCUUAAUUUUUUAAAGAUUUUUGAGGAUUUUCAAAUCCUUCCGUUGCUCAUAAAAUGUAAAAAUAUUAAACCAAAUUCCUUAUUUGUGGUGUUCGAUGGAAUCCCUAAUCCAAUAUGGAUAUAAAUGGAUUAGUGUGGAUUAACAUGGACAGCAAUUGACAUCUAUGGAUAUAGAGCUGCGAAAAGGUUAAAGAAAAGACCACUUUCAGGUGCAGUUUAUUAGUUGUUAGCCUGUGCACAGGCAUUAUGUAAUUCGUACCCGAGACUGCAAUUGUGUGUGGUCAUUGUGUCAGUCUCUGGGUACAAUCAUUCGGACAAAUACUUCGGAAAAAACCUGGCGGCCUGAUUCAGUAUAUUUACACACUCGAUCGAUUUCCU
rnacentral:lncRNA from 1 species